rnacentral:rRNA from 1 species
GACGAACGCUGGCGGCGUGCUUAACACAUGCAAGUCGAACGGAAAGGCCUCUUUCGGGGGGUACUCGAGUGGCGAACGGGUGAGUAACACGUGAGUAACCUGCCCUUGACUUUGGGAUAACUUCAGGAAACUGGGGCUAAUACCGGAUAGGAGCUCCUGCUGCAUGGUGGGGGUUGGAAAGUUUCGGCGGUUGGGGAUGGACUCGCGGCUUAUCAGCUUGUUGGUGGGGUAGUGGCUUACCAAGGCUUUGACGGGUAGCCGGCCUGAGAGGGUGACCGGCCACAUUGGGACUGAGAUACGGCCCAGACUCCUACGGGAGGCAGCAGGGGGGAAGAUUGCACAAGGGGUGGAAGCCUGAUGCAGCAACGCCGUGGGCGGGAUGACGGCCUUCGGGUUGUAAACCGCUUUCGCUCAUGACGAAGCUUUGUGUGACGGUAGUGGGUAAAGAAGCACCGGCUAACUACGUG